rnacentral:rRNA from 1 species
UACGUAGGGGGCUAGCGUUGUCCGGAUUUAUUGGGCGUAAAGAGCGUGUAGGCGGUUUGGUAGGUCCGUUGUGAAAACUCGAGGCUCAACCUCGAGACGCCGAUGGAAACCAUCAGACUAGAGUCCGGAAGAGGAGAGUGGAAUUCCUGGUGUAGCGGUGAAAUACGUAGAGAUUGGGAAGAACACCAGUGGCGAAGGCGGCUAUCUGGACGGUUUCUGACGCUAAGACGCGAAAGCGUGGGGAGCAAACAGG